GUGACCAGGAAAGCAGGUCCCAAGAUGUUCUUCAUUUCAGAACUGGCUCUCCAAAGAAAACACCGGGAGUGUGAGACAAUGCACGUGCUCUCAUACCCAUCACAAGAGCAGGAUUGGAAGAACAAGCUCCUCUGAAACCAGGAGCCUGUCAGAUGAAACAGAAGAUGGUUCAAAGCGGAACAAGAAGGACCAGUUUUAUGCACUUUGUAUGUUAAAUAAGAAAAGAUGAAAUGAACAACAGAAGCAAAAAAGGAUUGCCAGACUCCUGUUCCUUCAGUGUGCAAAGCCAGCUCUGAGGUUGCUGCUGCCCAUCCCCUGCCAGCAGGGACAUUGUACAGCGCCUUUCCACUGCGUCAGUGAAGAAUUUGCAUUCAGGAGAAACAGGUGUAUCUUUCACUGGUUAAACUGAGCAGAAGUUAUGGACAUAAUUCACGGUGAGCUGACAAAAACAGCACAUGGAGCCAAGUGAAGAAAUAUGAUUUUCACCAUAGUAAUAAUUUCUAGGUGUUCUGGUAAACAUCUGGAAGCUGUAGUUGGGAUGUAAAGAUUUUGCUUGUAUUUUUUAAAGUCACGCUUCUUUGAAUAUUUUGCCAAUUCUGCACAUUUUGCUAUUGAUCUAUAUGGACCAGUGGACUUGAAACAGACUUUUCCAUUGAGCUGCAUUCCCAGAACAACACCAAUACCAUUCAGGCGGGUUUGUGUCCAAAGGCUGGGCUCCUCUCCCUGCCCUCAGCUCCAGGUGCGUGCAGCCAUGCGUCACAGCUGGCACCGUGUGCCUCCUUGGGCUCUGCGGGACCUUCUUGUGUAAAUAAUUGCAGAUAGCUGAUAAACAGGUACUUUUUUAUUGUGCCAGUGGAAGGGUUUUGUUAGCAUUUCCUUUGAUCGUUUCACAAGGAAACUUCUGUUAUUUACCUAGGAGGCACUCACAGUAAUAUGUUCAUUUACUAAGUCGGCACAUAAAUGUUCGAGCUGCGUUGCCUCCAAACUGCGGAUGUGCUAAAUGCUCCAUGUGUCUGGAAAAAGUCACACUGGGGAGAGAUGUGCCAUCUGCAAAUCAUUUUCUAAAAAACUCCAAAGAGUAAGGGACUCUCAUUUGAAAAUGCUUUUAUUUGAGAAAUCAAUGUGUCCUUCUUUUGAUCCUGAACUGCCUUGGGCAGAAACAUUUGAGCUUCCUCUUUGGAAAAAUACUUCUUAUUUUACACAGCUGUCUAAUGUUUUGAUGGUGAAAUUCAUUCUCUACUCUGGUAAAACUUGUAGUGAUAAGGGGAAGAAAGAGUGUAAACUUCAAAGACAAAAAAGACAGAGGUUUUCCUUUCCAGGCCUUUUAGUGUAUAGUCUAUAAAUCCUCCCAAUUUCUCCAGAUAAAGGUGGUUGAGACCCCAGAAUGGUGCUGCUGUCACUCAUGCAGUCUUUGAACACAAUCCCAUGAGCUGUGUGUGAGGGGAGGCAGAGCUGACCUGACCUUAUUGUCAGAGCCCCUCAUUGCUGUGAUGCCUCUUCCCUCAUCCUGCCGGUUGGGUAGUGGGGACUGCCCAGUCAGCAAAACAUUUGCUGUUUCCUUGGCCCUUAACUGGACCUUUUAAUUGCUGAGUCAGUGUUCUGAUAUCACCAGAAGUCCCUGCUUUGUGCUCUGCUUUGAAAAAAUUUAGCUCUUUUGGUCUCUGUGCCAGUGCAAGUCAUGCAUGCAGAGCCCUUCUACAAACCAUGGCUUGGGAAUUCAGCAUCUUCCCUUGGUAUCUUUACCCUGAGCAAUUGUCUCCUUAGCACAUUAGAAAUUCCCUAUUGGAUUCUGGGCACAUGAUGGGGGGAACUACAUCCUGCUACUUUAAGUUGUCCAAAUGCUGCCAAGAUUUUUUUUCAAGUUUCCUAUGAAAAAGUGCGAGCAGGUGACCUUACUGCUCUUCUACAUCUAUAUCAUCCUGGUAUAAUGUCACAGAACUUACUCUGCAGCUCACUGGGCUGGGCCAGUUCAGCUCACAAAGCUGGCAGAUAGCUAUGGACACUUUUCUGAUGGCUUUAACUCUCUCCUGGGCUCCCAAGCUGAGAAGAUCCAUGGCUGAUACUGCUGGAUGAAAGAACUUGCACAAAGGCAAGUGCACCAGGAAAUUGGAGCCAGCAGCAGAACUGAGAAGAGGGAAAAGGAUCUUCUUCCCAUUUUGGCAGCAGCAAAUCAUAUUUGACCUAAUCAUGUUGUGUGUCUUCACACUAAGAUCUAGGGCCUUCUGUGGGGGAAUACAAUUCCUUUGGACAGUGACUAGGAAGCACAAGUUGUCUAUGCCAGCAGGUCCUAUGCUCAUCUUAUGGAGAUACUCUUUUCAGAACAUCAUCAAAAUAAAGACAGGAUUUUUACUUUUGGACUUCCCUUGUUGACCAAAGGACUGGAGGACAGAGACAUAUUGCACUAAUGACACAAAUAAAAUUUUUAAAGACUUCUUUA